AGUGGGGAAUAUUGGACAAUGGGGGCAACCCUGAUCCAGCCAUGCCGCGUGAGUGAUGAAGGCCUUAGGGUUGUAAAGCUCUUUCGCCGGUGAAGAUAAUGACGGUAACCGGAGAAGAAGCCCCGGCUAACUUCGUGCCAGCAGCCGCGGUAAUACGAAGGGGGCUAGCGUUGUUCGGAAUUACUGGGCGUAAAGCGCACGUAGGCGGACUGUUAAGUCGGGGGUGAAAUCCCAGGGCUCAACCCUGGAACUGCCUCCGAUACUGGCUGUCUUGAGUCCGGGAGAGGUGAGUGGAAUUCCGAGUGUAGAGGUGAAAUUCGUAGAUAUUCGGAAGAACACCAGUGGCGAAGGCGGCUCACUGGCCCGGUACUGACGCUGAGGUGCGAAAGCGUGGGGAGCAAA
rnacentral:rRNA from 1 species